AGUCCCUAUAUUUGCUUUUAAAACUGCCAUAGGAUAAUGUAAAUGAACAGUUUGAAUGAAUUUGUAAAAAAAAAAAUGAAAGGUUAAAUUCAUGCCAAUAGUGAAAAAUUUUAAUUUUUCUUUGCUAAGAUUGACAUUAAAUAACAAAUAAAAAACACUAUGCCAAGUCAAGUGACCCCAGAAGAAAGGAAAGAAGUAUGUAUGUAAUUUCCAGGAGAAGAACAGGGAAACAUGAACUUGAGACCAUCAUCUUCAAAGUGGAAGGAAUCCCAUUUUACUUAUGAAAAAACUAAGGUUUAGAGAGAUGAAGAGACUUCCUCCAGGACCCCGGUGGAAGCAUGAUUCAAACCUCAAGUCUGAGCCCAGAGCAAGGCUUAUAAAUACUAUGCUACACUAUUGACUCUGAGGAUGCUCAGGGAAAGGGAUUGAGACCAGUUAGGAAAAUAACAAGUUUAGGAAGUUCUCAGUUAACCAGAACAAAAUAGGCUGGAUGUUUUGUCUGUUUUUAUCACAGGACUUAUCAGAGCCUUUAACAUGCUACUGUAACUGAUGGAGAAAUAGACCAUUAAGAGAUGGCCAGGGAGGAAGAAGAAAGAGUCUUGUUUUCGCACAUGAUUCAUAGAUAGAUCAAUAUAAUUUGCAAUUACCUGAAAAAGUAUUCUACAUCCAAACCCAGACACAAUACCAAGCAACUGAAAUGGAAAGAAAUAUGUGUGGACAGCUUUUCAGUGCAGGCAAGAAUAAAUAUGUACACACAGUGACCAGACCACACACUGGGGAGCGACGUCUUGACUAAAGUGGUUAUCAUUAGGUGAGUUAUGCCAAUGUGCUUGCAAUUUGUGUUUAUUUUUAUUUUCUAUCCUUAUGAUAGACACAUCUGCUGUUUUUAUACUGCUGCAGACAGAGCUGGCUACAAAAUUUGCGGGCCCUAAAGCAAAAUGAAAACG